GUGGGGAAUCUUGCGCAAUGGGCGAAAGCCUGACGCAGCCAUGCCGCGUGAAUGAUGAAGGUCUUAGGAUUGUAAAAUUCUUUCACCGGGGACGAUAAUGACGGUACCCGGAGAAGAAGCUCCGGCUAACUUCGUGCCAGCAGCCGCGGUAAUACGAAGGGGGCUAGCGUUGCUCGGAAUUACUGGGCGUAAAGGGCGCGUAGGCGGACAGCUUAGUCAGAGGUGAAAGCCCAGGGCUCAACCUUGGAAUUGCCUUUGAUACUGGCUGUCUUGAGUUUGGGAGAGGUGAGUGGAACUCCGAGUGUAGAGGUGAAAUUCGUAGAUAUUCGGAAGAACACCAGUGGCGAAGGCGACUCACGGGCCCAAUACUGACGCUGAGGCGCGACAGCGUGGGGAGCAAACAGGAUUAGAUACCCUGGUAGUCC
rnacentral:rRNA from 1 species